UACGUAGGGUGCAAGCGUUGUCCGGAAUUAUUGGGCGUAAAGAGCUCGUAGGCGGUCUGUUGCGUCGGCUGUGAAAACCCGAGGCUCAACCUCGGGCCUGCAGCCGAUACGGGCAGACUAGAGUUCGGCAGGGGGAGACUGGAAUUCCUGGUGUAGCGGUGAAAUGCGCAGAUAUCAGGAGGGAACACCGGUGGGCGAAGGCGGGUCUCUGGGCCGAUACUGACGC
rnacentral:rRNA from 1 species